CCUGCCGCAGCUUCCCUCCUGGUCUCAGAGCCCGGAGGAUGCUCAAAGCAGCUGCCCAGGAGGCUGGGCAGAUCCCAGUGGAUCCCUAAAGCCACAGAUGCAGGUCUCGGCACAACCGAGUACCAACAAGGGUGCUGAGCGUUCAGCUUCGCCAACAGGGCACGAGAAAGGGACACGUGCCAAGAUGACUUUCACUUUUAACCCUUCUUCCUAGGUCAUACUUUCUUCUUCUGGGGAUGGAGGCACUCCGCUAGACAUUGCACGAGCAGGAAGGAAGGCACCACCACAGUGCUCAAGGGACCAUCUGAUGCGCCUGUGAACACUCCAGCAAACCAGUGUGCUGACCCGGCGUCCUCUCUGCUCGUUGCAAGGGGAAGCAUCAUUAAACCACAUGGAGCGCACAAAGGGCAGGUUGCGCCCAAUCUCCCGUACAACCAGAGGCUUCUAGACUGCUCGCUAAAACUGCUUCUCCUUUCCUAAGGAUUUAUUUCUUCACCUCGGGCAUAGUGCACAAACUGUGGGAUUCAAUGCUAUAUAGCAGCAUUAGCAAAACUUCUUUUUACUUUUUCUAAAUUCUUUGCUCGUGGGCAUACGUUUGGCUAGAAGGAAGUGCCAGGUCCAGGACUGAGUCCAGUCGCAAGAAAUGAGAAAGAACUCUCAAUGAAUCUGACUGGAGAAUACUCAGAGUAGAUAGAUAAUUUGGCAUGAUAAUAAGCGAAUUUCUAUGCCUAGUGCUGCAGCUUUUGGACAGAGCCUCCAUACGUUUAGCUGCUAGGCUACCUGGUUUGCAAUACAGACAAGAGUGUCCGAUUUAUGCAUUAAUGAAGUAAACUAACAUUUAGCCCUUGGGGUUACGAAGAGCCUCUAAAUAAGUAAUCUGUUACUUUUUUUCUGUACUCCUGCAGCUUCUUAAACUGGACUUUGGCUAGGGCCUCAGCAGGCCUUAAUUUUGCCCUGUUCAUGGAGGCAGACUAAUAAAGAAAGCUCUACCUGUACAUUUGCACAGCACGUGUCCAUAAAAAGAAGCCGCAGCGCUACCAUCACCACCUUGUGAAUGAGAUAGAGCUGUUCUUUUCUUUAGAAGGUAGAGCGCUCGUGGGCUUGGCGUCUACUUCCAGAUAGUUUGGUCCAGUCGCCCUCCUUCAGACUGACCUUCCUCCAAGGGAAGUUGUGAGCAUAAUGUAGAAAAGAAGAACACUUCCUUUGUCUGACUGUGGUACAGGAAAGGGAUUCAAGGGAUUUGAUGGCAACGGGAUGCUCAGUAGUUGGUGUAGGAUCUGUCUGAUGAUACCAACAGCUACAUCUGAUUACUGGGUUUCUUGUGGCGUCAGAAUCAGCAGUACCUUCCAGCUGAAAUAUUAGCAACAGAAGAUUGCUCACACUCAUCAUCCUCGUCUUCAUCUCAGAACUGCAGAACUGGAAGGGACCCUUUGGGUCAUCAGUUCCAGUGUUUGUCAAAGUGGCACAGUGAGGAAUCGAACUCUAAACUUCCGGCUGCAUAGUCAGAUACCUAAAUAACUGAGCUCUCUCUGAUAUGAUGUUCCCUCGCAUUUCAUCCAAGCACCCAGUAACUCUGGCUGAUGUUCCUAUCAUAUGUGAUUAAAGCCAAAGGCAACUAUUUAAAUACUGUGUUAGAGGAA